AAGGGGGUAGUUUAAGUAAAACAUAAAUUCGUCAAAUUUAAAUUACUCAUUUAUUAGUUCCCCUUU
rnacentral:tRNA from 1 species